rnacentral:rRNA from 1 species
AACGAACGCUGGCGGCAGGCCUAACACAUGCAAGUCGAACGAACCGUUUACGGUGAGUGGCGCACGGGUGAGUAACACGUGGGAAUAUACAUUUCGGUAAGGAAUAACGUAGAGAAAUUUACGCUAAUACCUUAUAAUGACUACGGUCCAAAGAUUUAUCGCCGAAGGAUUAGCCCGCGUUAGAUUAGGUAGUUGGUAGGGUAAUGGCCUGCCAAGCCUACGAUCUAUAGCUGGUCUUAGAGGAUGAUCAGCCACACUGGAACGGAGACACGGUCCAGACUCCUACGGGAGGCAGCAGUGAGGAAUAUUGCGCAAUGGGGGAAACCCUGACGCAGCCAUGCCGCGUGAGUGACGAAGGCCUUAGGGUUGUAAAGCUCUUUCAGAUGUAAAGAUAAUGACGGUAACAUCAGAAGAAGCUCCGGCUAAAUUCGUGCCAGCCGCCGCGGUAA